rnacentral:lncRNA from 1 species
CCUGAUUCCAGCUGCUGCCAUGGAUAUAAUUAGUGCCAUUGGAUUUCCCCUUGCAAAGAUGAGCUAAUAAAACAAGAGGCUUCUGGGAGAGGAGGUCAAGCAAAGGAAAUUCCAUGUCCUGUCCAGCAGAGAACCCUCUUGCUUCCCAGAGGGGGCUGCUGUAAAAUGAGAACUGCUCACGUUGUGUGCUUGUGUGUGUGUGAACAGGGAGGGCAGACUGUGCUCCCUGUUACCUCACAGUAAAUUCUGUAUCACUGACUGCAGACAGUGCUCUGGGUGUCAGCUGGGGGGACCUACCCAGAGUCUGCAUUUCCAGUUGUUUCUGUUCAUAGCUGACCUCCGUGUCCAGCCGCGAAGGCAUUUUCUGUUUUACGAGUCGCGGUGAGCAGAGAGCCAGCAGGUGAAAUCCCAGCCCCUCCUGCCUCUCUGUAAUUAACAGCCCCAAAUAUGGAGCAGUGUCUGACCCUGUGACAUUUUUUUCCUAAGGCUUUUAUUAAUUUGACACUGGUUUUCAUAGCAACUCACCAGGGAG